GACGAACGCUGGCGGCGUGCCUAAUACAUGCAAGUGGAACGCUGAAGAGAGGAGCUUGCUCUUCUUGGAUGAGUUGCGAACGGGUGAGUAACGCGUAGGUAACCUGCCUUGUAGCGGGGGAUAACUAUUGGAAACGAUAGCUAAUACCGCAUAACAAUGGAUGACACAUGUCAUUUAUUUGAAAGGGGCAAUUGCUCCACUACAAGAUGGACCUGCGUUGUAUUAGCUAGUAGGUGAGGUAAUGGCUCACCUAGGCGACGAUACAUAGCCGACCUGAGAGGGUGAUCGGCCACACUGGGACUGAGACACGGCCCAGACUCCUACGGGAGGCAGCAGUAGGGAAUCUUCGGCAAUGGGGGCAACCCUGACCGAGCAACGCCGCGUGAGUGAAGAAGGUUUUCGGAUCGUAAAGUUCUGUUGUAAGUCAAGAACGGGUGUGAGAGUGGAAAGUUCACACUGUGACGGUAGCUUACCAGAAAGGGACGGCUAACUACGUG
rnacentral:rRNA from 1 species